UAUCUACCAAAUGUUCAAACUCUAUUAGUUAGUUAGUAAUAUUUAGGCACAAAACGAACUCAUUCUGAGAUCAGGUGCACUUAAUUUGUAAAAAAAACUGUAAUGUAACUGUAUUACAACUACAAGUGUGAUUGAAUCGAAAAAAAAGGACACUCAAAAGUCCACUGCCUUCCAGUUGCCGGGGAAUGUUAUGACCGUAGAACGAAAAAUUCAGGACGCAAACUCUUAUCUUUACCGAUCUUCACGGCUCAACACAGUUCCUCUCGGGUCCACUUGACUACUCCAAGAGAGAAGAGUAGUAUCGAAACGGCAAGGGUUAUCCAUCCAUAAUGCACGAUGUUAAUUUGUUUGACAAAUUCAACCAUAGAGAGGUUCACAAUUGUAUUUCUUCGAAAAUGAGGUCGGCCAAGCAGUUACCGUAAAUGAUAUUCGCUAUCUCGAGACGAUAACGGACUUAUUGUGGCCACAAAUUGAGGAUAUGGACGUGGACGAUAUGUGGUUCCAACAGGAUGGUGCCACUUGCCACACAGCCAACGACACAAUGGCUCUUUUGCGCGAGAACGGCCGUGUUACCUCAUGUCAUGCCGAUGGUAAUUGGCCGCCACGAUAAUCCGGUUCAACACCAUUGGACUUCUUUCUUUAGAGAUAUUCAAAAGUAAAAGUGUACGUCAAGAAUCCAAAAACAAUUCAAGAGAUGAAGGAUGAGAUAAUUCGGCAUCGGAAAGUGGUAUACCACCGAAUCCGUAAAGAACAUUUGCCCGAUAAUUUGUUUCAGAAAUAAUUGUCAUAGAUCCUUCUAUCAUAUUAAAAAAAUUACGAUGAUUCUUUGAAAA